CGUACACUCCUGCGGGAGGCAGCAGUGGGGAAUUUUGGACAAUGGGCGAAAGCCUGAUCCAGCCAUGCCGCGUGCAGGAUGAAGGCCUUCGGGUUGUAAACUGCUUUUGUACGGAACGAAACGGCCUUUUCUAAUAAAGAGGGCUAAUGACGGUACCGUAAGAAUAAGCACCGGCUAACUACGUGCCAGCAGCCGCGGUAAUACGUAGGGUGCAAGCGUUAAUCGGAAUUACUGGGCGUAAAGCGUGCGCAGGCGGUUAUGUAAGACAGUUGUGAAAUCCCCGGGCUCAACCUGGGAACUGCAUCUGUGACUGCAUAGCUAGAGUACGGUAGAGGGGGAUGGAAUUCCGCGUGUAGCAGUGAAAUGCGUAGAUAUGCGGAGGAACACCGAUGGCGAAGGCAAUCCCCUGGACCUGUACUGACGCUCAUGCACGAAAGCGUGGGGAGCAAACAGGAUUAGAUACCCGGGUAGUCCCAUGA
rnacentral:rRNA from 1 species